GGGUAAAGGGGGCGCCACCGCAAGUUGCUGUGCAACAUCCAGACAUCACCAGACCCACCACCUGGAGCCUGGCCUGGCGGUGUCAAACGCAUUCUGGUCUCAUCUUUUUAGAAACCCGUGGAUGCUCAAGGAAUUUCCGGAUAACGUGAUCCCGGAUGCGCUUGACUGACUUACACGGAACGAGCAAAGCGCAAAGCAGUCCCUGCUAAGGACUUAGUUUAUGCCCUCAAGCGCAAAGGUCGGACCCUCUAUGGUGUUGGUAGCU
rnacentral:lncRNA from 1 species